CCUUGGUUGUCUUAGAAGGAAAAAAAAAGUCAAGGUCAAAGUGCCCUAAUCAUAAGGAAGUAGAGGCUGCCAAUGGCCAAAGACCUUCCUAUUGAGUGAGGUAAAAAGAACAACCUUCCUAGAGAGGCUUGGCCAUAGACACCUCUAGGGUCACAAGGGCAGAUGUCACCAAGGGCCUAGAAUUCUGGCUCUGAGUUCUCUGAGAUCACACGUGGAAAACUCUCAACACCCAGUUCAAAGUUCUCUGGGGCCACACAGGACACUAGUGAACCCCUGCAGACCUCAUUAGCACUCUGCCUCAUGCCCACCCUCUGACGACAGCAUUUGAUCCUGAAUUGGCCUUUCUAUGCAGCUGGGCUCAUAUUUUGGAGAAGCCCCUUGCAUUGUUAAGGGACCUUUUUCUUAGUAGAGAGAGGGAGAGCAGGAGUGAGCAGCCUUGACACUUGUCUGACUAGCCAGUCCCAACCCCCAGUGGAGGUUCUUCAUUCAAGGAUGAAACAACAGUUAAAUCCUGAAUGACUUGAGUCAGGCCUUAGGGUCUGAAUGUGGCCUGGUCCAUCUGAGUCACCUGAGGGCAUGGUCUCUCAUACAACUCAGAUUGCCUCAGGGCCAACAUAUUUAUUUGAUAAGCAGAAAAAUGAAACUGCUAGAUUAAUCAUGCCUACUAACUCAGUUCAUUCACUGAUGCCCUGAAUUAUAUGAGACCAAAAGACAUUACAGGGUAAGUUUUGGGCUGAUGGUAAGGUUAGGAGGAACUAAAUACUGUCCUGAGCUCCAUUAACCACUGUAUAAUCCUGGGCAAAUUUUCAAUUUUCAUUUGUUCAUUCAAUAAGUGUUUGUGGAGCACCCACUUUGGGACAAAUAUUUUUCUGUCCUUCUGAGUCAAUUUGUGAAGCCAUACAAUUGAGAUAUCAGUCAUGGGCUAAAGAGUAAAAUUAAUGAUACUGUUUGGAAAUGUACAUGACUCCCCUGACCAGGUGAUCCCAACAUGAAGCCCUGAGAGAGCGACUGUGGUGACAGUCUGCUCAUGUGAGAGUGGCCGCCUCCCUGUGCCCUUCUGCAAGGCUGUUUCCUCUCCCUGGUCCUUUUGAGUGUGUUAUACCCUGCCUUUCCCCAGCAUUCUCAAUUCUCAAUUCUUAAUUCUUAAAAUGUUAAUAAGAUGUUAACUGAUAAAUAAUCUUUCUUUAGAUUUACAGAACCCAGAACAUCUGGUGACCUUUGUCAUCCCCUCCUUAAUCUUUACUUGUAUACAUCAACUAACAUAACACAAAGCAUGCAAAUUACUGUGAGGUUUAACUUGCAGGAAAAUAAUAUAUCUGUUUUAAGAAAAUAUAGGAACUGGCCCCUAGACUCUAAGGUCCACUGUGACAUUCUGACUAAUGGAAAAAAUAAAAUGGCCCGGAGGAUGAAUACCCUGCUCAGCACACAGCCUUCUGCCCCCUGUCUCCCUGGAUUUCAUUUCCCUUCCAGAGUUCCUCAAGAUGGAGCUUUGAGGAUGACACCCCUCCCAAUCUUCCGAGGUGCCAGCCACUGAAAAAAACCUGAUUCCUUCCUACCAACUCUUCUCUCCUGAAUAUUGGCCUUCAAGUGGCAAGCAGCCCAGACCUGAAUCCAGUAACAAUAAGGCAGCCAGUUCCAUGCGACUCCCUGCUUAGAGGGAACUGGGUGAGCUGAAGGUGGGCAAGUCCUACUAGAGCACAGAAAAAGAAAAGCCAGAGUUUCCUGACAUGAGGGCAUGACUGGCCUCCCGAGGACAGAGAGGGCCCUGUCCUGGACCUCUCUGAUGCAACCAUCUAACUCAUCCUCUAGAUUCUCAGAUCCAGACAGCUGGGAUCUAAUCACUGAACAAUCCUACCAAUUUUCAGUUUCCAUGGGACACAGUUCAGUGUUCACAAGCCCCUCAUCCCCAGAUGCGUGACCUUUUUGCAGUGUGGUUUUGCUGCUCCUCUCAUUCAAAGGGGAAUCCAUAUCUCUACCUCCUUGACUGGUGACUAUAUAUAAAUAAUUUGUCUGAUCUUUGUGACAGGUUCCUGGGACAUAGUUUCUAGAACCUUUGGAAUUUCCUAAGUGACAGGAAUGCCUCUGUUACUUAUCACACCAGAAUUUGAUGAGAUGACUCAGGAUGGGGGCUAACCAGUCUUGAAAGAACAACCUGCAAGGAAAACGGAGCUCGAGGUUGAGUUUAAGCAUGAAGUCAACGGGCCCCACAAGCUCAUCUGUGGACAGCUUGGGGACCCCCAAAUUUGUAGCUGAAUCUUGAAAUUUUCUUGUGCACUCCUGAAACCCAGUUGCCACCAUGCUAUAAGGAAAAGACCACAUGGAAAGGCCAAGCCACGUCAUCUGUCCACCUGAAUUACUCUUGUGUUGGAAACUCAGUGUUAUACAAGGAAUUGCACUGGAUCAAAAUUCUACAGGGCAAACUCAAAAACCAGAUUCAUAAGCCCCCAGGGACUUCGGAGGCAUAACAAAUAAAACUAGAAUAGCAAGUGCCACUUCAGAUCUGGCUCACCCAACAUCUUUGCUGCUGGCCUCACCUGGGAUAACUUCAAUCCACUCACGUUGAUGCUGCACAGGUCUGAUGGUUUCCUCACAUGGUGGUGCUUCAGCUGGGACACAGGACAGAAAGUCAGCUCUUGAGGCCACAAUAAAAUGUAAUUAAUUAAGCUA